rnacentral:rRNA from 1 species
AUUGAACGCUGGCGGCAGGCCUAACACAUGCAAGUCGAACCCGUGGCGGACGGGUGAGUAAUGUCUGGGAAACUGCCUGAUGGCGGGGGAUAACUACUGGAAACGGUAGCUAAUACCACAUACACUCGGAUGUGCCCCGAUGGGAUUAGCUAGUAGUUGGGGUAACGGCUCACCUAGGCGACGAUCCCUAGCUGGUCUGAGAGGAUGACCCGCCAGACGGGAACGGAGACACGGUCCGGACACGUACGGGAGGCAGCAGUGGGGAAUAUUGCACAAUGGGAGCAAUCCUGAUGCAGCCAUGCCGCGUGUAUGAAGAAGGCCUUCGGGUUGUAAAGUACUUUCAGCGGGGAGGCGUUACCCGCAGAAGAAGCACCGGCUAACUCCGUGCCAGCAGCCGCGGUAAUAC